AUGGUACUUGUCACUACUCGAUUCCCAAAGGUAGCAGGCAUGGUGAAAACAGUUGAUCCACUAGAGCUGCGAGGUUUGGAGUCUAAUGACUUCUUCACAUUCUUUGAAGCAUGUAUAUUUGGUCAAGACAACAAGCCUGAGCAUUACGAAUAUGAGUUUGCUGGUAUUGCACGAAAAAUUGCAAACAAGCUAAAGGGUUCCCCGCUCGCAGCCAAAACAGUUGGUAGACUAUUGCAUAAGCACCUUUCUCAGGAACAUUGGAAUGGAGUUCUUGAAAAGCAUCAGUGGCUAAAGCAGCAAGAAAAUGAUGAUAUAAUGCAAUCUUUAAAGAUUAGCUACGAUUACCUCCCAUUUGAUCUGAAGAAACGCUUUUCCUAUUGUGGCCUUUUCCCUGAAGACCAUGAGUUUACUCCUUCAGAAAUCAAUCAUUUCUGGGUUGCAAUAGGCAUCAUAGACUAUAAUCACCACGCCGAUAGGAAUUACUUGGAUGAACUAGUGGACAAUGGUUUUCUCAUGAAGAAGAAAGGGUAUUAUUGGGAUGAUCGAUACCAACAACAGAAGGAAUUUGAUUGCUAUGUAAUGCAUGAUUUAAUGCAUGAGCUAUCUAAGAGUGUUUCUGCACAAGAAUGCCUCAAUAUAAGUGACUUAGAUUUCAGAGCUGAUGCUAUCCCACAAUCUGUUCGGCACUUAUCUAUCAACAUAGAAGACAGAUAUAAAGCAAAUUUUGAGGAAGAAAUGUGUAAACUAAGGGAGAGGAUCGACAUUGCUAAUCUGCGGACUUUGAUGAUAUUUAGAGGAUAUGAAGAAGAAAGAAUCGCCAAGAUUUUGAAAGAUAGCUUCAAGGAAAUAAACAGUCUGCGUGUCCUAUUUAUAGUGGUGAAGUCUGCACAAUCUUUUCCAUAUAGGUUUUCAAAACUUAUCCACCUCCAGUACCUCAAAAUUAGUUCGUCUUACAGUGAAGAUGAAAUGAGCUUGCCUAGUACACUAUCAAGAUUUUAUCACUUGAAAUUCUUGGACCUAGAUGAUUGGUAUGGUAGUUCUGAUUUGCCCAAAGACUUUAGCCACCUUGAGAAUUUACAUGAUUUCCGUGCUGCAAGUAAAGUCCACUCCAAUAUUCGCAAUGUCGGAAAGAUGAAGCAUCUGCUGGAACUAAAAGAAUUCCAUGUCAGGAAAGGGAACAUGGGAUUUCAACUGAGAGAACUUGGGUCAUUGACAGAGCUUGAAGGAGGACUGAUUAUACGUGGUCUUGAACACGUGGCAACCAAGGAGGAAGCUACUGCAGCCAAACUGGAGUUGAAAAGGAAUCUAAAGGAGUUGGAAUUACUCUGGGGCAGAGAUGGACCAACUACAGAUGCUGAUAUUCUUGUCUGCAAAUCAUGA
rnacentral:rRNA from 1 species